GACGAACGCUGGCGGCGGGCUUAACACAUGCAAGUCGAACGAACGCCUUCGGGCGUUAGUGGCGCACGGGUGAGUAACACGUAGGCAAUCUACCCUCGGCUGGGGAAUAACCAGGGGAAACCCUGGCUAAUACCGCAUAACAUCUGGACGUCGCCUGGCGACCAGAUCAAAGCUUUAUGUGGCCGAGGAUGAGCCUGCGUCGGAUUAGCUAGUUGGUGGGGUAACGGCCUACCAAGGCGACGAUCCGUAGCGGGUCUGAGAGGAUGAUCCGCCACACUGGCACUGAGACACGGGCCAGACUCCUACGGGAGGCAGCAGUGAGGAAUAUUGCGCAAUGGACGAAAGUCUGACGCAGCCACGCCGCGUGCA
rnacentral:rRNA from 1 species